rnacentral:rRNA from 1 species
UUUUUUCAGAGUUUGAUCCUAGCUCAGGAUGAAUGCUGGCGGCGUGGAUAAGGCAUGCAAGUCAAGGGGC